UUUUCGCAAGGUUUUUUCCACGCUGACAUGUUGGGGAGCAAGCGAAAACAUCUCAUUAGCUAACGCUGAAGUAGAACAUGGAGAACCCACACCCAACGGUAGCAGAACCCCAUCGAGGUUAUUGUUAGAGGCCAAACAAUUGGGAGGAUAUGAUGCUUCGUCGUAGUAUUGAGCCAUCGAGGGACUGAACAGUUUCAACUCUUGGCGGGCAGAGCGUGGAAGUCCAGGCCUGCAAGGUGUUUACACCUUUAUUUUUAAGAUGUAAGUAGGCAUGGAUAUAGAUGGAUUGUAGGUAGGUUUAGAGUAAUUUACAAACACACGAAAAUCAAUCAGGAAUACUUAUGAAUCUUUUGGGG
rnacentral:lncRNA from 1 species